GCUCUAAUAGCGUAUAUUAAUGUUGUUGCAGUUAAAAAGCUCGUAGUUGGAUUGGUGCCGUCACGCUUGCCGCCUUACGGUAGUGCGAUCGGGACGACACUUCUUUUCUGAACGACUAUGCUGAUCUUCACGGAUGGGCAUAGGAGUCAGAUCGUUUACUUUGAAAAAAUUAGAGUGUUCAAAGCAGGCCAACGCAUUGA
rnacentral:rRNA from 1 species